AACGAACGCUGGCGGCAUGCCUAACACAUGCAAGUCGAACGAGACCUUCGGGUCUAGUGGCGCACGGGUGCGUAACGCGUGGGAACCUGCCCUUAGGUUCGGAAUAACUCCCCGAAAGGGGUGCUAAUACCGGAUAAUGUCUUCGGACCAAAGAUUUAUCGCCUUUGGAUGGGCCCGCGUUGGAUUAGCUAGUUGGUAGGGUAAAAGCCUACCAAGGCGACGAUCCAUAGCUGGUCUGAGAGGAUGAUCAGCCACACUGGGACUGAGAAACGGCCCAGACUCCUACGGGAGGCAGCAGUGGGGAAUAUUGGACAACGGGCGAAAGCCUGAUCCAGCAAUGCCGCGUGAGUGAUGAAGGCCUUAGGGUUGUAAAGCUCUUUUACCCGGGAUGAUAAUGACAGUACCGGGAGAAUAAGCUCCGGCUAACUCCGUG
rnacentral:rRNA from 1 species